rnacentral:lncRNA from 1 species
UCGACAGAAUUUUUAACUUAAUCUGUAGAAAAAUCUAAACAGAUCCUAAGAUUUUCUUACAUGUGUGAGGACUGGAUCCUUCAUGGGGUAAAGUUCUGCAACGAUAACAACAAAUUUAUCUAGCUCAGUUUAAUGAAAAAGAAUUUCAACAAACAUCGCCCCUAAGGACACGCGAACAGUGAGGUGCAGUAUACCAACCAGCCCUUGUCUGUGGUCUUGGAUUCUCCAGGAGAACUACCAAAAAAAAAAAAAUCUCAAUUCUCUGGAUGAAACGAAGAGUCUCCAUAAUGCUAUGCGCUGCAUCAAAGCUCCGAAGGUUGAAAUAUCUAAAGUAGAUCAGAAGUUGAAUCUUCACAGUAAAUCCUGCCAAGUCAAUAUCAUUGCGCUA